UAGAGUUUGAUCCUGGCUCAGGACGAACGCUGGCGGCGUGCUUAACACAUGCAAGUCGAGCGGUAAGGCCCUUUCGGGGGUACACGAGCGGCGAACGGGUGAGUAACACGUGGGUGACCUGCCCUUAGCUCUGGGAUAAGCCUGGGAAACUGGGUCUAAUACCGGAUAUGACCUCAUGACGCAUGUUGUGGGGUGGAAAGCCUUGUGCGGCUAGGGAUGGGCCCGCGGCCUAUCAGCUUGUUGGUGGGGUGAUGGCCUACCAAGGCGAGUCGGGCCCAAUCGCC
rnacentral:rRNA from 1 species